GAUGAACGCUGGCGGCGUGCCUAAUACAUGCAAGUCGAGCGAACAGACGAGGAGCUUGCUCCUCUGACGUUAGCGGCGGACGGGUGAGUAACACGUGGAUAACCUACCUAUAAUACUGGGAUAACUUCGGGAAACCGGAUCUAAUACCGGAUAAUAUCUUGAACCGCAUGGUUCAAUAGUGAAAGACGGUUUUGCUGUCACUUAUAGAUGGAUCCGCGCCGCAUUAGCUAGUUGGUAAGGUAACGGCUUACCAAGGCUACGAUGCGUAGCCGACCUGAGAGGGUGAUAGGCCACACUGGAGCUGAGACACGGUCCAGACUCCUACGGGAGGCAGCAGUAGGGAAUCUUCCGCAAUGGGCGAAAGCAUGACGGAGCAACGCCGCGUGAGUGAUGAAGGUCUUCGGAUCGUAAAAAUCUGUUAUUAGGGAAGAACAAAUGUGUAAGUAACUAUGCACGUCUUGACGGUACCUAAUCAGAAAGCCACGGCUAACUACGUG
rnacentral:rRNA from 1 species